AGAAUCAACGCUGGCGGCGUGCCUCAGACAUGCAAGUCGAACGCGAAAGUCCCCUUCGGGGGACAAGUAGAGUGGCGCACGGGUGAGUAACACGUAGGUAAUCUACCUUCGGAUGGGGAAUAACAACCGGAAACGGUUGCUAAUACCGCAUAAUGCAGCGGCACCUAAUGGUGACAGUUGUUAAAGCGGGGGAUCGAAAGACCUCGCGUCUGAAGAGGAGCCUGCGGCGGAUUAGCUAGUUGGUAGGUAACGGCUACCAAGGCGACGAUCCGUA
rnacentral:rRNA from 1 species